UAGCUUACACCACCAGAACCCUGGAGGGUGCACUCUGAGGUUUUGGCAGCCUGGCAGAUAGUUCUUAGCAUGCCUGCCAUUACUGGCUAAAUGCUAUUUAUUAUGACAAGAUCAAGCAAACAUACUCACAAAGACAGAAGAAAAAAAGGAGAUAAUAUGAGAACCAGAAUCUGGUUCUAUUCUCUGGAUGGAAGAAGGAAGCAUUCUCCAAUCUGAUGGGAAGAACAAAGUGUUUACCAUCAUGAUCAGUUGCCCAAAGGGGCCAGUCAUUAUCGAUAAUCUAGAGAAGCUCUUAGGUAACAGUUGUCAACAUUAAAGAAUAUGAAACUUCAGCUCUGUGGCAUGUGACCAGCAGAAUGAUGUGGAAUCCACUUCAGCGCAUCUGGAACCCAGGAGGUGAUGCAUCAAGGGGCCACAUUCUCGAGUCACGUGGACGAGUCUAGGCAGCCUUGGGAGCUCUUCCACCAUCCGGGGAAAUGUAGGACAACAGGUAGAAGGCUUGCCCUCCUUAAGGGGCAGAAGGAGGCCUGUGGAGAGCGGUCACGGGGAGGAAGAGCUCAGUAGUGGAGGAGCAGAUGGAAGGGAAUCGCCUGUGGCUGAAGUAUUAGCGAGAAAAGACAAUCCUAGGAGAGAGCCAGCGAAUGGCCCGCCAGGCUUGCUGACAGCGAAAGCCACCAGGAAGCAUCAGUCCCAUUUCUGGAAACCUGGUGAAUCACCAAUGAUGAAAUACAACAGGUAGAGAGGAAAGAUCUUUAAAAGCACGAAGUAUUUUCUCAGAAAACACCUUAGUACUAUACAGAAAUGGGUAAAAAAUAUAAUUGUUCUUUGAUUCAGUAUGUAAUGUGUACUUAAAGUACACAAUGGAAUGGUUUUGAACUAAUGUUUUCUACUUCUAGAUCCAGUUAAACAAUGGGAAUUGGAUAUGCUGACCUCUUUGGUUGACAAGUCAGAGAAACAUGGUUUUUAUCUUCCCCAAAUUUUUGAAAUAUAGAAAAAGCAUAUGUUUUAAAAAUGUAUUUAUAAAUGUUUGUAAAGAAUCCAGAGACCUAUCAUUCCUUUCAACAGUUGGGUAUACUUUACAAAUAAAAUUCUUAAAGCAUGUAGGUAUGUUUAAAAUUAAUGGAAAGGAACAAACAGAAACAGACUAUAAACUCUUGUGGCAGUUUUAAACCUAGUUACCCCAAAUUUCCAAACUUAUAUUUCUUUUUAUAUCCUGAUAUCAACUACAGAAAGGGUUCUAACUAGUCUGACUCAACAAAGGAAAUGAAUGAAUAUUAUAACCUGUGUGUUUCUCAGAUAUCUAGAUUUGAUCUUUAUUAUAUGUUUUAAUAUUCCUGAGAAUUGAUUUUUUUGGGCCACAUUUAGUUGACCCCACUUAAAAUUUGUCCUUAUGUCAGCAUUUGUCAAAACAUAUAAACCUGGUUAUUAUUUUGGUUUCAGCAGGAAAACCCUGCUUUAAUGCUCAAACUCUAUAAGUUCUGCUUUUCAUACAUCUCCUAGACUUCCACAUUAUUCCUUUUAAAUAUCAUCAUGAUUAUAAUUAAAUGCUCUGUUUGCAUUCUCUGAGAUAUAAUCUCUAAGAAGGCAAGGACUGGGUUAUCUGGUUCACUGCUCUAUCUAUUAUAUUGUCUCAACAAAUAAAUAUUGCCACUUAAUAAACAGAUGUUGAAUGAAUGAUGGAUGAACAGUCACUUCCCUUUCUCAUGUUAUAUUACUAAGUUACUAAGGAAGAAAUCAUGGAAUCUUAUUUAUAAGGAAUAAGGACAAGUCUUAGUAGUCCACAGACAUUCUAAGAUUACUUAGGACCAAUAAAGUAAGAGCCUAUGCACAUUUUCAUUUUAUCUGUUAUAUUCUAUAUUCUGUCUUUAAAUACAGAUUCAAUGGAACUUAAUGUUUAUGCCGAAUUCAUGCCUAAAAUUCCUCACCAUCUAUCAAGGUUUUUUAAAAAUCUUAUAUCUGACAAAUACUUUUUCUUUCACUCUGCUGUAGGUAGACAUUUCUCUCAGAACAUACUGCUCUCAGUACCACUAAUGUAAAAGCAAAUGACAUAUACAACACCAAUUAAAUAUUUAUGCAAUGUAGCACUGAAAUGGUAAAUAUUGUAUUACGCUUUCCACUUGUCAUUAGUCAGGAGAUGUUGCUACAUUCUGCAGUAAUGAUAGCCUAAAACAGAGAAAACAGCAUUGCAUUUCAAGGACAAGAUACUUGUCUGGCACAAACUGAAGUUCAGCUGACUUUAAAGGUAUUUCUUAUUGUUGCUGCCCUUGAAUGUUUUUCAAGUCAGAAAGAUUUUCGUAUUUGAAUGGUAACAGUCUGUUUAACUAUAAUAUUUCUCAUAUAUUAUUUACUUUAGCUGCCCUCACAUCAAGCUAAGAGUAAAAUGAAUUAUUUCUGGAGAGGUGAGAAGAACAUACUUCCUAUACCUUUGUUGAAUUUCUUG